GGCAGUUUUUACUGUUCGAACUUUACUGCUUCAUCCUUCUCGUCGCCUUGGAUGUUGUUAUUUCUCCGGCUUUUGGUCUUAAACUGCUCUCUUUCUCGUCUACUGAUAGCCGUAGAUGUGUUUUUAUAGCUUUGGGUAUGUGACUGCCUGGAACAACUUGCCUCGGGCAACUAGAUUUUGUUGCAGCUUUCAGCACUGAUCCACACUGAGCUGCAGAACUAGAUCCCUUCACCAGUACUUCCAACCAACCCCCUUCACCAGUACUCCCAACCAGUGUGCCUUUCACCAUUACUUCCAACCAGGCCCCUUCACCAGUUCAAUUGCAAUAACAACUCAAGUCACCACCUACACUACAGUGCAUUAAUAUCUCCAAUCAAAUGUCUUCCUUUGAAAGAAUUUUGGACAAGAGGUUAAGAGCUACCUGUUUUGAAGCAAGUCUGACCUAUCCUCCAGAAGGUAUCAUAAAAAUCGUCUGCUGGAGACAACUACUGUCCCUACCACCAUGGCAUGAUGACUUCUAUCAACUGGUACCACCAAACCUAUCUGUUAGCCAUGCCAACACCACCAUAGCAUGACCUCUACCAACUGGCACCUGUAGACCAAUCUCAAACUUGAGACUCAUAAAAACUCGUGUUACUAAUAUUGCAUUUUCUCUCUCUCUCUCUCUCUCUCUCUCUCUCUCUCUCUCUCUCUCUCUCUCUCUCUCUACACCACAGCCAACAGACCUACAGUAUGGUACCCACAGUAUGUUGUUUAUGAACCAGUCACUCUCUCUCUCUCUCUCUCUCUCUCUCUCUCUCUCUCUCUCUCUCUCUCUCUCUCUCUCUCUCUCUCUCUCUCUAAGCUCAGACCCACAGUAUGUUUACAAACCACAAAAUGCUGGUGCCUCUACCCAUAUGUGUGUGCUAAGAAAUAUUCUAGCAUGCUUAUAUGAAAAGUAUCAAACUAUAAAUUUGAAAUUCAUUCUUCCAAAAUUACUUGCAAAUUUAACCACAAAAAUUUUUUUUUCACCUGCCAUGCAACCAAUAAUGCUGCUUGCUUGUGUGCUGGCUUCCCCCUGCUAUACAACCCAUUCAGUCCUAGUUUGCAACUGGCUUCAGCUACUUCGGAAACCUCAUUGGUGAUUGGACAGGGAAUUCCAACCCUUAUUGCUGGCUGGGCCAUGGCUCCAUCAGCCUCUCUUGUUUAUUAAUUUAAAUUCUCUUCCCUGUAUCUUCCUUAUUUCGUACAAUACUUCAUUUAUCACUGAAGAAAAACAAUGAAAAAAGUUGAAAUCAAUGACGAAGGUGAAAAUGUUUAUAUUGCUUGUUGUUCUUUGCUGGUCUUUUUAUAAAAUCAUCAUAAUGGUUUGAGAAUACUAGUUUGUGAUAGACAAGGUUCAGAAGAUAUUGUUCACCUGUCAUCAGAUUUUAGAUAUGGUAGAAAGGAAGUGGUAUGCAACUUUAUCUCUCAAGCUGUUAGUGCAAGACAACACCUGUGUACAUGUAUUUGUACUCACAAUGAUGAGCUGGUGCUGUCUUGUGCCUGUGGCUCUGGAUAAAAAGCUGCUUACCAUUCCUCCUUUCUGACAUAUCACAUAUAUAGUGGUAUCAUCAUAAUUCCAUGGGAAAAAAAAAAAAAAAAAAAAAAAGCAAGAUGAACCUUUCCAGCUCAGUAAUACAUAUUACAGAAAACAAGAGAGAUGCAGGAUGAGAAAAUUAGACCUGUAGUAAGGAGUGGCCAGCAUCUCCAGUGAGCAGAAGACAGACUAGCUGAGCCACAGACCAGUCAGUAACAAGGUACAAGAGCCAGUGUCCAAUCAGCAGCAAGGUUACAAAAGCAGCUUAGGAUUAUAGCCACAACCAAGUACCACAUACAAUAGAAUUUUACAGCAGGAACACUACAACUAAUCUGGUAACAGUUUGCAUCAGGUGUGUUUGGAGUCAAAGUCAACAGCUUCAUGAGGACUGACUUAUCUAAGCUCAAACUAAUUGCUUUUAACAGUGAUCUUGUAUAACAAAA